rnacentral:lncRNA from 1 species
UGUGUGUGUGUGUGUGUGUGUGUGUGUGUGUGUGUGUGUGUGUGUGUGUGUGUGUGUGUGUGUGCAUGUGAAUUAAAGGGUUUGUCUAGCCCAGUAGUCUGCAUAUUAGUUGCAGUAGUUGGCGCACCUCUCCUAUCUCUGAUUGUUCUAGGUGUCUUUUGCCAGAGGUUACCUCAGCAUAUGUAGGCUGAUGAUCUGAAUGAUACAUGGUGUGGACUGUGUUGUGAUGGGCUGGAUCUAGUAGUGCUGUGUUGUGAUUGGCCUGGUCCAGUAGAGCUGUGUUGUGAUUGGCCAGGUCAAGUAGAGCUGUGUUGUGAUGGGCCUGGUCCAGUAGAGCUGUGUUGUGAUUGGCCAGGUCUCGUUUGGUAAAUCUGUGUUGUGAUGGGCCGGGUCUAGUAGAGCUGUGUUGUGAUUGGCCUGGUCCAGUAGAGCUGUGUUGUGAUUGGCCAGGUCAAGUAGUGCUGUGUUGUGAUUGGCCUGGUCCAGUAGAGCUGUGUUGUGAUUGGCCAGGUCAAGUAGAGCUGUGUUGUGAUGGGCCGGGUCUAGUAGAGCUGUGUUGUGAUGGGCCUGGUCCAGUAGAGCUGUGUUGUGAUUGGCCAGGUCAAGUAGUGCUGUGUUGUGAUGGGCCGGGUCUAGUAGAGCUGUGUUGUGAUUGGCCGGGUCUAGUAGAGCUGUGUUGUGAUGGGCCUGGUCCAGUAGAGCUGUGUUGUGAUUGGCCAGGUCUCGUUUGGUAAAUCUGUGUUGUGAUGGGCCGGGUCUAGUAGAGCUGUGUUGUGAUUGGCCUGGUCCAGUAGAGCUGUGUUGUGAUUGGCCAGGUCAAGUAGUGCUGUGUUGUGAUGGGCCGGGUCUAGUAGAGCUGUGUUGUGAUUGGCCGGGUCUAGUAGAGCUGUGUUGUGAUGGGCCUGGUCUAGUAGAGCUGUGUUGUGAUGGGCCGGGUCUAGUAGAGCUGUGUUGUGAUAGACCAGGACUGGUCUGGUAAAUCUGUGUUGUGAUGGGCCUGGUCUAGUAGAGCUGUGUUGUGAUGGGCCGGGUCUAGUAGAGCUGUGUUGUGAUAGACCAGGACUGGUCAAGUAGUGCUGUGUUGUGAUGGGCCGGGUCUAGUAGAGCUGUGUUGUGAUUGGCCGGGUCUAGUAGAGCUGUGUUGUGAUGGGCCUGGUCCAGUAGAGCUGUGUUGUGAUUGGCCAGGUCAAGUAGUGCUGUGUUGUGAUGGGCCGGGUCUAGUAGAGCUGUGUUGUGAUUGGCCGGGUCUAGUAGAGCUGUGUUGUGAUGGGCCUGGUCUAGUAGAGCUGUGUUGUGAUGGGCCGGGUCUAGUAGAGCUGUGUUGUGAUGGGCCUGGUCUAGUAGAGCUGUGUUGUGAUGGGCCGGGUCUAGUAGAGCUGUGUUGUGAUAGACCAGGACUGGUCUGGUAAAUCUGUGUUGUGAUGGGCCUGGUCUAGUAGAGCUGUGUUGUGAUGGGACGGGUCUGGUCCAGUAGUGCUGUGUUGUGAUGGGCCUGGUCUAGUAGAACUGUGUUGUGAUGGGCCUGGUCUAGUAGAGCUGUGUUGUGAUGGGCCUGGUCUAGUAGAGCUGUGUUGUGAUGGGCCUGGUCCAGUAGAGCUGUGUUGUGAUGGGCCUGUUCUAGUAGAGCUGUGUUGUGAUGGGACUGGUCUAGUAGAGCUGUGUUGUGAUGGGACGGGUUUGGUCUGGUAAAUCUGUGCUGUGUUGGGCCUGGUCUAGUAGAGCUGUGUUGUGAUGGGACGGGUCUGGUCCAGUAGAGCUGUGUUGUGAUGGGUCUGGUCUGGUAAAUCUGUGCUAGGGUUGGGCCUGGUCUAGUAGAGCUGUGUUGUGAUGGGACGGGUCUAGUAGUGCUGUGUUGUGAUGGGCCUGGUCUAGUAGAGCUGUGCUGUAAUAAGCCGUGUCUGGCUCUUCUCUCCUG